UACGUAGGUGGCUAGCGUUGUCCGGAUUUACUGGGCGUAAAGCGCGCGCAGGCGGUCGUUCAAGUCGAGUGUGAAAGCCCACGGCUCAACCGUGGAGGGUCAUUGGAAACUGGGGGACUUGAGUGCAGAAGAGGAAAGCGGAAUUCCACGUGUAGCGGUGAGAUGCGUAGAGAUGUGGAGGAACACCAGUGGCGAAGGCGGCUUUCUGGUCUGUAACUGACGCUGAGGCGCGAAAGCGUGGGGAGCAAACAGG
rnacentral:rRNA from 1 species